AUUGUGACAUAUAUCUAGGCAAAUUGCCUAGAAGUGAAUCCCCUCUCCUGCUUAAGUCCUUCCCACAGAGAGCGGUUUGAUAUGUCACUGAAACCAGCAUCCAGGUGGUAUUGCUCCAUAUGCCUGAGACCCUAACAAAAGCCUAAUUACAACUCAUAUGCCUGGAGCCAGGACAUGUGCAGGAUGCCAUGAUGGUCCAAGUUAUAUUGGGAUUCAGCCAAUAGAAGAUAUUUUGCCUGUCAUCCCUAAGCUUAGGACAAUAGGAACAUUGUGACAUUGCUGGACGUAGCAUCUAGGAAAUGUACUCUCCUCUCCUGCCUAGGCCCUGCCCACUAAAGGAAUUGUGACAUACCACUGAGUGCAAAACCUAGGGUCCUGCCCACAAGAAAGAUUGUGACAUCUCACUGGACAAGCACCCACCCAGACUCUGCCAAGAGAGGGGAUUAUUACAUAUUGCAGAGCCCAGCACCUAGGUGGAGUGACUCUCAUCUUUUUCUUCUACCCCGUAUAUAGCCAGCUUGGUGACCUACUAUUUGAGUCUAUACCCAGGCCCAGACCACAGAUGAAAUUGUGCAAUAUGUGGAACAAACACCUAAACAAUAUAUAACACCUUCCUUGGCUCUGUCUACAAAGGGCACUUUUAUAUAUCACUGGGACCAUCAACCAGGUGAUGUUGUGCCAUAUAACUGAGACCGUAUCAAAAGCCUAAUAACAAGACGUAUGUCUGGAGCCCCGAUAUGCACAGGAUGGUGAUAUAACCCUCUUCUCUGGAAUGGGCCCCACACAAAGGAAGGAUAGUGACAUAUUGCAAGCCCAGGCACACAGGCCCAGAGCACAGUUGAAAUUGUGACAUAUGUACACCAAGCAACCAAGCAAUGUAUAACACCUCAUUUGGCAAUGGAAUCGAGGGCACUUUUACAUAUCACUGAGACCAGCGCCCAGCUGAUGUGAAAUAUUGGCCUGAACCCUGCCUACAAAAGCAUUGUGGCUUUUAUCUAGCUCCAUUACAUAAGUGAUGUGACUUCCUUCUACUGCCUUGGCCCUGCACUUAUGGUGAAUCGUGACACAAAAUUGGGUAGAGCAACCAGCCUGGGCCCUGACCAGCACAGAGAUUGAGGCAUAUUGCUGAACCCAGGACCAAGAUGAAGUCACUCUCCUGCCUUGAUCCUGCACACAGGGACCCUUGUGACAUAUAUACAGGCCAAUUGCCUAGGUGAUGUUGUGCAAUAUACCUGAGACCAGAUCAAUGGCCUAAUAAUGACUCUUUUACCUAGAGCCAGGACAUGUGCAGGAUGGUAACUCUCAUCCCUGAACCUUUCCACAGGUGUUAUUGUCACAUAUACCUUUUCCAGCUCCAAAGUGAUUUAAUAAUCCAGCCUAGUUAUAGCCCACAGAUAAUAUUUGGACAUAUACCUGAGUCAAGAACCUUGGUGAUUUGACUCUCAUGUCUUAACAGUGUCCUCAGAAGGGAUCAUAACAUAUCUCUGGACCCAUCAUCUAGGUUAUGUGACUCUCUUCUCCUGCCUGAACCCUGCUUCCAGUGAAGAGUGUUGCAUUUCUAAGCACUGCAUCCAAAUGACAUGAGUUUCUUGCCUGGGCCGUUUCAACAGAAGGCAUUGUGACAUAUCUCUAGGUCUAUCAUUUAGGUGAUAUGACUCUCCUCUCCUGCCUGGACACUCUCCACAAGGGGCAUUAUGCCAUAGAGCUAGAGCUAGCAACCAAGUUUUGUGAAUUUUCUGUUAGGGCCUUGCCUACAAAGAGAAUUUUGGAAUAUUUCUGGCUUAGAAUUUAAGUAAUGUGGUUGUUCUGCCUGUUCAGUAACCACAGAGGAGAAGGUGAAAUAUAUCUAGGCACCGCAAACAGGCAUGAUAAUGAGUCUUGUAUGUGGACCCAGCAAAUAGGAGAAAUUUUGACUCUUAUAACUAGGUUUAGGAACAUGAGUGAUGUCCAGGAUCUCCUUCUGGUAAGAAGGUCACAGAAGAUUGCAACACUCACAAUUAUUUUGUAACACCUUUGGGUUGUAUAGGGAGUGUCGUAACAGGGCCAAACACACAGAGGAAAUUGUGACAGUCAUAUGCACACCUACCUGACAGUAAAGACUUUCACAAUCACAAAUGGAUGAAGGCAACUGUCCUACAUGAAAACAGGACAUGUGUGGUAUUGUACAUCUAAAACCUAGAAUUUUAUUCCAUUGUGACUGUGAUAUAAAUCAAUGCCAAGCA
ensembl:lncRNA LINC00293 long intergenic non-protein coding RNA 293